GUUGGAUUUCUGGGCUAAAAUCUCACAUUGCCAGCUCAUGUUAAGACUUUCAUCAACUGGCACCCCAAAAUCCUUCUCCCCAGGACUGUUCUCAAGAUAAAUGCUGAUCAGUAGCUAUCCAAAUCCUAGCAACUUUGGACAAAAAAAAAACCAAACAAACAAGCUGACUAUUGGGUAAAGCUCAAGUGUUUCCUAAGAAGAAACCAAAUAAUUGAUCCACUGAUAAGAUUUGAAUUUCACUGAAAUGAUGAGUUAACAGAGUGACAGAGAUCAGGAUAAGGAGGGAGGUGAUCAUGAUUUACUGUGAAAAUUAUUUCUUAAUUUCAGAAUACUUUAAAAUUCUGAGGCAAAUUAAGGCAGAAAUUUUGGUCAAACCCUUACAUCUCUUGUUCUGUCUUCCCAUAGAAGGAAAUCUGCACAUUGUCUCUGGGAAACUGACUAGUAAAGGAUUGCUUGAAAAAAUUAUAUCAUACCUCAAGUCCCUGUCAAAGGGAUAAUGCCAGAAGGAAAAUGAAGUCCAUCAUAAAUAUUACUUGGUUUGGAUGAUACUCAGAACAAUAUCAGCCCCAGCAUUCUCUGAAGGUCUUCAGCACAGAAGACUCUGGACAUCAUCCAGCUCUGUGGUAACUCAUCUUGCCAACAUUCUCCUCUUCUCAGAUACCCCACAGCAACUGAGAACAGACAGUGGAGAGAUAUUUCAUCAGAACAGAUUGAGAAAGUUAACUUUUCCAAACUUCAGAUCUUCUAGAAAGCACAUAAAAUUGACGUUAUUUGACUGUCUCUUCCAAUUGUCAGGUACCAAGUCCAGCUGUACAAUUUAAGGAAGUGGCUUUCUCAUAUUAAGUGGUCAACUGCCUGGAAAGAGACUGAUGUUGUCUGAAAAACUCUUUGACAUGAAAUAAGGGUAAGAUGCUCACCUUCCUGAAAUAUAAACAAAUAACAAUAACUAAACAUAGGAACAUAUUCUAUAAUGGCAAAACAGCAUCAAG
rnacentral:lncRNA from 1 species